AAUAGAUACCCGGUAGUCCACGCCGUAAACGAUGAGUGCUAAGUGUUAGAGGGUUUCCGCCCUUUAGUGCUGCGGCAAACGCAUUAAGCACUCCGCCUGGGGAGUACGGUCGCAAGACUGAAACUCAAAGGAAUUGACGGGGGCCCGCACAAGCGGUGGAGCAUGUGGUUUAAUUCGAAGCAACGCGAAGAACCUUACCAGGUCUUGACAUCCCGUGACAACUCUAGAGAUAGGGCUUUCCCCUUCGGGGGACACGGUGACAGGUGGUGCAUGGUUGUCGUCAGCUCGUGUCGUGAGAUGUUGGGUUAAGUCCCGCAACGAGCGCAACCCUUGAUCUUAGUUGCCAGCAUUCAGUUGGGCACUCUAAGGUGACUGCCGGUGACAAACCGGAGGAAGGUGGGGAUGACGUCAAAUCAUCAUGCCCCUUAUGACCUGGGCUACACACGUGCUACAAUGGAUGGUACAAAGGGCAGCGAAACCGCGAGGUUAAGCAAAUCCCAUAAAACCAUUCUCAAGUUCGGAUUGCAGGCUGC
rnacentral:rRNA from 1 species